CUUGUGCCAAACCACCCUUAUAAUGGACCCGAACCGCAAGGAUUAUUACUGUCCAUUGUUGCCAUAAUGGAGCUGUAAACUUUUACUAGGUAUAUGUAAACUGAGUUAAGUUAUACGAUAGCCAGUUUGACUUAUAAGGGUGCUUUGGCUUAACCCGCUAAAGUCAUAAAAGUUUGACAAGCUAUAUGACAAGUAAGUUUAGUAUAAAAUUCGCCUUUUUGCUCUAUUUUUUGUUGGGCAACUUCAGCACAAAAAUGAAUACGGUUUCGUCCAAACAAAUUUGAACAAAGUCCUCAUAAGCGAAACGAAUUCAUAGCCCUGUUUUUCCAAAAGUGAUUAAAGAUUUUGACCUAUUGGUAAGAUGGGCCACUUCAGCACACAUAUAAAUACAAUUUCGGCCAAGAAAAUUCACCUUUUAAAAACACUUAAAAUUCAUGGUGUUCAGCACAACAGUCAAAAUAUUAAGAAUUCUGUCCUGUUUUUUAAGGUAGGAGGGAUACUAUGCAAGCACAUGUAGAUAACAAUUUUUUAAGAAAAUUUAAAUUUGCCGCCAAAUUAGUUUCAAAUUUAAUUGUCUACUUGGACACCAGAGGUCAUCGUUUCGUGAUCGUUUCUAGAGACUAAAUAAUUGGGUCUCUAAUCGUUUUAUUCUAAGAUUUCUAGGGGCGUUCUAGUAACAGACUGGUAACAGUAGUAACUUUUGUUUCUUUUUCUUACUGUUGGCAUGAAACCUUGAUGAAAGCAGGGGGUGGAAACUUAAUACAAUGACCUUGAACAUUGAAAGCUUGUGGAAUAGGACAAGAGAUGGCACGAGUUAGGACCAGUAUCAAAUGCAAUGGGAGCGACAAAGAUAUGUAUAGAAUCAUAUUGUGCUCUUUAUUCGGGCGAGUCAUUAUCAAAACUAUAGUUCCUUUUAGAGAGUUUAAGUGUGCAUUUCUAGUUGUUAAAAGUACUCUUUUCUAUGGAUGAAACUUGCACCUGCACCCACCUGAAUUUUUUGCGUUCCCUGUUUUGAGAUUUUCCUUUGUGGGACUGGUUUUUCAAUAGUUUUGAGCAGGGAUAUGGUAAGAUGUAUCGCCAUAUCCAAGAAAUCGUGGAGAAUUACCCCAAUUUUCUAAACGAUGAUCAUGUAGUUGAUUGUACUUGGGAAGAAAAUGAGGAUGCAAAAAAAGCACCAUUUGUAAGAAUUUUACCAAAAUUUUUUUCUGUACAAGAAGUACAAUACAGGAGAAAAAGAGAUGGGUGCUACUUUGUAGUCAAAUAUACUACUAUAUUGACAAUGAAGGUGACUUACCAACAGGAAAAGAAAAGGUGUUGGUUGAUCAGAUAAAAAAAUUUGUACCAUCGAAAUACUGUGAUAACAGAUGACGAAAUCGAGCCCCCAAAAUGUGUAGUUAUCACAUAUGCAGUCUGUUGUAGAUGUAUAAAUUUGGAUUUUGAGCAGCCCAUACAAACAUCAACCAAAGUAUGGGCGCUAAAUAAUGCCCUAGAAAAAAUUCACAUGUAAAGGAGUCAAUAUGAUUCGUUGUUAAGAUUGUUAUUGUAAGUACAAGAGAUUUUCUCAACUGAGUGUUAUUAUGAAAAAUUUAAAAUAGUUUCGGAAAAUAGAUUUAAUUUUUUUAUAG